rnacentral:rRNA from 1 species
AGCGAACGCUGGCGGCAGGCCUAACACAUGCCAGUCGAACGAACUCUUCGGAGUUAGUGGCGGACGGGUGAGUAACACGUGGGAACGUGCCUUUUGGUUCGGAAUAACUCAGGGAAACUUGUGCUAAUACCGAAUGUGCCCUUCGGGGGAAAGAUUUAUCGCCAUUAGAGCGGCCCGCGUCUGAUUAGCUAGUUGGUGAGGUAACGGCCCACCAAGGCGACGAUCAGUAGCUGGUCUGAGAGGAUGACCAGCCACACUGGGACUGAGACACGGCCCAGACUCCUACGGGAGGCAGCAGUGGGGAAUCUUGCGCAAUGGGCGAAAGCCUGACGCAGCCAUGCCGCGUGAAUGAUGAAGGUCUUAGGAUUGUAAAAUUCUUUCACCGGGGACGAUAAUGACGGUACCCGGAGAAGAAGCCCCGGCUAACUUCGUG